UACGUAGGGUGCGAGCGUUGUCCGGAAUUAUUGGGCGUAAAGAGCUCGUAGGCGGUUUGUCGCGUCGACUGUGAAAACCCGAGGCUUAACCUCGGGCCUGCAGUCGAUACGGGCAGACUAGAGUUCGGUAGGGGAGACUGGAAUUCCUGGUGUAGCGGUGAAAUGCGUAGAUAUCAGGAGGAAUACCGGUGGCGAAAGCGACUCUCUGGACGGUAACUGACGCUGAGGCACGAAAGCGUGGGGAGCAAACAGG
rnacentral:rRNA from 1 species